AGAGUUUGAUCCUGGCUCAGGAUGAACGCUAGCGGCAGGCCUAAUACAUGCAAGUCGAGGGGCAGCACAGGUAGCAAUACUGGGUGGCGACCGGCAAACGGGUGCGGAACACGUACGCAACCUUCCUUCAAGCGGGGAAUAGCCCAGAGAAAUUUGGAUUAAUACCCCAUAAGAAUGUGACCUGGCAUCAGGUAGCAUUUAAAGAUUUAUCACUUGGAGAUGGGCGUGCGUCUGAUUAGGUAGUUGGUGAGGUAACGGCUCACCAAGCCGACGAUCAGUAACUGGCGUGAGAGCGCGACCAGUCACACGGGCACUGAGACACGGGCCCGACUCCUACGGGAGGCAGCAGUAAGGAAUAUUGGUCAAUGGACGCAAGUCUGAACCAGCCAUGCCGCGUGGAGGAUGAAGGCCCUCUGGGUUGUAAACUUCUUUUAUUUGGGACGAAACACUUCUUUUCUAAGGAGCUUGACGGUACCAGAUGAAUAAGCACCGGCUAACUCCGUGCCAGCAGCCGCGGUAAUACGGAGGGUGCAAGCGUUAUCCGGAUUCACUGGGUUUAAAGGGUGCGUAGGCGGACAUGUAAGUCCGUGGUGAAAUCUCUAAGCUUAACUUGGAAACUGCCAUGGAUACUAUAUGUCUUGAAUGUUGUGGAGGUUAGCGGAAUAUGUCAUGUAGCGGUGAAAUGCAUAGAUAUGACAUAGAACACCAAUUGCGAAGGCAGCUGGCUACACAAAUAUUGACGCUGAGGCACGAAAGCGUGGGGAUCAAACAGGAUUAGAUACCCUGGUAGUCCACGCCCUAAACGAUGAUUACUCGACAUUUACGAUACACAGCAAUAGUGUCUGAGCGAAAGCAUUAAGUAAUCCACCUGGGAAGUACGACCGCAAGGUUGAAACUCAAAGGAAUUGACGG
rnacentral:rRNA from 1 species